rnacentral:rRNA from 1 species
UAACCAGCACCCCGAGUGGUCGGGACGAUUAUUGGGCCUAAAGGCAUCCGUAGCCGGUCAUGCAAGUCUUCCGUUAAAUCCAGCCGCUCAACGGUUGGGCUGCGGAGGAUACUACGUGGCUAGGAGGCGGGAGAGGCAAGCGGGUACUCAGUGGGUAGGGGUAAAAUCCUUUGAUCCAUUGAAGACCACCAGUGGCGAAGGCGGCUUGCCAGAACGCGCUCGACGGUGAGGGAUGAAAGCUGGGGGAGCAAACCGG